rnacentral:rRNA from 1 species
AUGGCGCCGGUGAAGGUGUUCGGGCCGGCCAUGUUGACCAACGUGGCCCGGGUGCUGGUGUGCCUGGAGGAGGUCGGCGCCGAGUACGAGGUCGUCGACAUCGAUUUCAAGGCCAUGGAGCACAAGAGCCCUGAGCAUCUCGUCAGAAACCCGUUCGGCCAAAUCCCUGCCUUCCAGGAUGGGGAUCUGCUUCUCUUCGAGUCACGCGCAAUUGCAAAGUACGUGCUCCGCAAGUACAAGACGAACGGAGUCGACCUGCUGAGGGAAGGCGACCUGAAGGAGGCGGCAAUGGUGGACGUAUGGACGGAGGUGGACGCGCACACCUACAACCCGGCCAUCUCGCCGAUCGUGUACGAGUGCCUCAUCAACCCGCUCAUGCGCGGCCUGCCGACCAACCAGACGGUGGUGGACGAGAGCCUGGAGAAGCUCAAAAAGGUACUGGAGGUCUACGAGGCACGCCUCUCCCGGCACGAGUACCUGGCCGGGGACUUCGUCAGCUUCGCGGACCUCAACCACUUCCCCUACACCUUCUACUUCAUGGCCACGCCGCACGCGGCCCUCUUCGACUCGUACCCGCACGUCAAGGCAUGGUGGGAGAGGCUCAUGGCGAGGCCGGCCGUCAAGAAGCUCGCCGCGCAAAUGGUUCCCAAGAAGCCGUGA